UAUUCGACAAUCUCAUCUCCCCACCC
rnacentral:piRNA from 1 species